rnacentral:rRNA from 1 species
UACGUAGGGUGCAAGCGUUGUCCGGAAUUAUUGGGCGUAAAGAGCUCGUAGGCGGUCUGUCGCGUCGGCUGUGAAAACUCGGGGCUCAACUCCGAGCCUGCAGUCGAUACGGGCAGACUAGAGUGCUGUAGGGGAGACUGGAAUUCCUGGUGUAGCGGUGAAAUGCGCAGAUAUCAGGAGGAACACCGGUGGCGAAGGCGGGUCUCUGGGCAUGAUCUGACGCUGAGGAGCGAAAGUGUGGGGAGCGAACAGG